GAUGAACGCUGGCGGCGUGCCUAAUACAUGCAAGUCGAGCGAAUGGAUUAAGAGCUUGCUCUUAUGAAGUUAGCGGCGGACGGGUGAGUAACACGUGGGUAACCUGCCCAUAAGACUGGGAUAACUCCGGGAAACCGGGGCUAAUACCGGAUAACAUUUUGAACCGCUUGGUUCGAAAUUGAAAGGCGGCUUCGGCUGUCGCUUAUGGAUCGACCCGCGUCGCAUUAGCUAGUUGGUGAGGUAACGGCUCACCAAGGCAACGAUGCGUAGCCGACCUGAGAGGGUGAUCGGCCACACUGGGACUGAGACACGGCCCAGACUCCUACGGGAGGCAGCAGUAGGGAAUCUUCCGCAAUGGACGAAAGUCUGACGGAGCAACGCCGCGUGAGUGAUGAAGGCUUUCGGGUCGUAAAACUCUGUUGUUAGGGAAGAACAAGUGCUAGUUGAAUAAGCUGGCACCUUGACGGUACCUAACCAGAAAGCCACGGCUAACUACGUGCCAGCAGCCGCCGUAA
rnacentral:rRNA from 1 species